rnacentral:lncRNA from 1 species
UGUCGAGUGACAGUUUUUAGGUCAAACGAAACUGCGUCACUUGCCCACAACUUCCUGUAUUUCCAAAACGUUGUCGCCUCUAAUGGUGUUCCUGCUGCUACCGUCAUCGGCAGUUGCGCCGGUUUUACACCACUGUCGCGGGUGUCAAAGCUCGUCUUUUCUUAACAUGUAAAAUACUAGCGAUGACUAAACAAGGUCAGGGCCGCUGGUGUUCAAACAUUGUCCUCCCUGCCGGUAGUUUCAAAGAAAGGUCGACAAUAGUGUACCGAAAGACGAUGUAAUGACAGUGGCGACAACGCACUAAGGAUGUCCAAUAGUUAACUACCGGUGACCAACCGUGUUGAUGUUAUAAUUUAUAGUAGCUCUGAUUAAUAUUUUUGUAAUUAAAAUUAAAGUUUCUAAUGUCUUAUGUUUUCACAAAUUAUGUUUAUUAUGUGUUUCCUUAGGUUUUAAUAAUGUUUUAUCAUCAUCCCAACAUGCACCCACCAGACUUUCAUACUGCAACAUGUUGAAAUAGGUGGUGUUAAGGCAUAUGUUUUGCUAAUUGUGGAUCAUCUAUCCUGAGAUGUUGCCUAGAUCACUUAUCCUUAGCGGAUGGUGCCGGGAGCCUGAGGAUCAAGGAUCAUUAUUAUUACUUAUGUUAUAGACGACGUGGACUAAGUCUUAGCUAGAAUCUCGGUCAUUAUUCACUAGAGAUGCUGCACGUGAUGAAUUCCACUAACGUUCAUGGAGCUUGGACGUGGUCUUUCAAGAAAAUCGGACCUAGUUGUUAGUUUAUUUCAAAAGGGGUUGAUUAAGUGUUAUGAGGGCCAUUCACACAUUCCAAUUUUCGCAUACACACACUACAGCUUACAAACACUUUAGCAAACAAUCAUUGUACCACACUUGAUCAACAUCCGAAGUUGUAAUUUUCAUUGUGCAAUAUAGUUGAUAGUGAUAGUUUUCACUAUCCGAGGUUUGUAUGCAGGCGAUCUACUGGUGAUCAAGGGUUUUUCCU